UCAGCAUUUGAACUACUGUGUGUGUGUGUAUUUUGUAGUUUUUCAUAUGUAUCAUUACAUUGGUUCAAGAUGGCGCCGAGCAUGGCAGCCGUGUUGCGAGCUCCGAGAAAACUCUGCAGUUUUUCGUUUGUUUUACUUGUUAUUUUGUUGUUCUACGUGUUGGAUGUUGUUAGUAUAACUGUCUACGAUAGACACACGCUUUUAAACAUUGGCUCCUACGUCGCGCAACGCAAACCGGACUUUGAGUUCUUGAACGCCGGCGCUCUGUUUACAGACACCGCAUCAGAGCCCUUUGUCUGGGCCGCACGGUCGCGACCGAGGAAACGCCGCCGGAAAAGGGGGAAGAGAGCCGGCGUCCUUGUCAGACUCAGACGUCGACCCCUCCGACCUCUUCUCCCAACCAUUUUGCUGGCUAACGUUCAGUCACUGGACAACAAACUCUGUGAACUGCGGGCACGCAUCUCAUACCAACGAGAAACAAGGGACUGCUGCAUUAUUUGCCUCACAGAAACCUGGAUGUCUGCAGAGGUUCCAGACUCAGCCAUCGAGCUUACGGGGUUCUCCGUGCACCGCUCGGACAGAACAAAAGAGCUCACAGGGAAAAGCAGAGGUGGGGGCGUUUGUUUCUUUAUCAACCGCUCGUGGUGUGAUGAGAGGAACCUACACUCUAUUAAAUCCUUCUGCUCCCCUGAUCUGGAAUUUCAUAUGCUUCUGUGUCGACCAUUCUGGCUACCGAGGGAAUUUACAGCGAUCAUAAUCACAGCUGUUUACAUUCCCCCUCAAGCCAACACAGACCAGGCACUCAAGGAACUGUAUGGGAAUAUAAGUGAGCAGGAAACCGCUUACCCAGAUGCGGCGUUUAUUGUUACGGGGGACUUUAACAAAGCCAACUUCAGAACAAUAACUCCAAAAUAUUUUCAACACAUCACCAUCAACACACGUGGUGAUCGUGCACUGGACCACUGCUACUCUCCUUUCCGGGACGCCUACAAAUCCCUCCCCCGCCCACCUUUCGGCAAAUCGGAUCACUCUUCCAUUCUGCUCCUGCCUGCUUAUAGGCAGAAACUGAAACGGGAAGCACCCGCCCUCAGGACAAUUCAAUGCUGGUCGGACCAAUCAGACGCUAUACUACAGGACUGUUUUGAUCACGUGGACUGGGACAUGUUCCGGGCAGCGUCUGAUGACGACAUAGAGGCAUACUCAGAUACUGUAACAUGUUUCAUCAGGAAGUGCGUAGAAGAUGUAGUGCCGACAAAAACAAUCCGCAUCUACCCCAACCAAAAACCGUGGAUUAAUAGCGAUGUUCGAGCAGCCUUGUCAGCGCGGACAUCUGCUUUUAAAUCCGGAACCACUGAACAAGCCAGUUACGGUCUCAGGAAAUCCAUCAAAGCCGCAAAAAGACAAUAUAAAAACAAAGUUGAAGAACAAUUCAACACCAACAAUGCAAGAAGCAUGUGGCAGGGCAUCAAUAACAUAACAGAC
ensembl:lncRNA